UACGGAGGAUCCGAGCGUUAUCCGGAUUUAUUGGGUUUAAAGGGUGCGCAGGCGGCACGUUAAGUCAGGGGUGAAAGACAGCGGCUCAACCGUUGCAGUGCCUUUGAUACUGAUGUGCUUGAAUACCGUUGAGGACGGCGGAACGGGACAAGUAGCGGUGAAAUGCAUAGAUAUGUCCCAGAACACCGAUUGCGAAGGCAGCUGUCCAAGCGUGUAUUGACGCUGAUGCACGAAAGCGUGGGGAUCGAAC
rnacentral:rRNA from 1 species